CAGUCGACGGUGACGGGGCUUCGGCCCCGGGAUCAGUGGCGGACGGGUGCGUAACACGUGGGCAACCUGCCCCGGACACUGGGAUAACUCCGGGAAACCGGGGCUAAUACCGGAUACUCCGCUUGGAUCGCAUGGUCCGAUCGGGAAAGCUUUUGCGGUCUGGGAUGGGCCCGCGGCCUAUCAGCUUGUUGGUGAGGUAACGGCCCACCAAGGCGACGACGGGUAGCUGGUCUGAGAGGACGACCAGCCGCACUGGGACUGAGAUACGGCCCAGACUCCUACGGGAGGCAGCAGUGGGGAAUCUUGCGCAAUGGGCGAAAGCCUGACGCAGCGACGCCGCGUGGGGGAUGAAGGCCCUCGGGUUGUAAACCCCUUUCGGCAGGGACGAAGCGAUUGUGACGGUACCUGCAGAAGAAGCCUCGGCUAACUACGUGCCAGCAGCCGCGGUAAGACGUAGGAGGCGAGCGUUGUCCGGAUUCAUUGGGCGUAAAGAGCACGCAGGCGGUUUGGCAAGUCGGACGUGAAAAUCCGGGGCUCAACCCCGGACCUGCAUCCGAAACUGCCCGACUAGAGGUAGGUAGGGGAGAUCGGAAUUCCUGGUGUAGCGGUGAAAUGCGCAGAUAUCAGGAGGAACACCGGUGGCGAAGGCGGAUCUCUGGGCCUUACCUGACGCUCAGGUGCGAAAGCUAGGGGAGCGAACAGGAUUAGAUACCCUGGUAGAAUCACUAGUGAAUUC
rnacentral:rRNA from 1 species